GAGAAUCUGCUCGGUGUUGACGAAGAGCGCCCAGCAUGGGAAGCAGCACAGCAGCAGGAUGAGGAUCCCUUGCUGCAGGAUGGUGCCCACCUGCUUCAGGUUCUUGCCACCGUACGUCUGAGAUGGGAGAGAGGACCGAGAUCACAGGAGACACACCAUCAAUCCAACCCCGACAGCCACAAGAAAGGGGGAGCUGCUACUGACCUGGGACAUCAGCGUGUCGCAUGCUGAGGCUAAACCAGAGCCGAUGGAGAUGCCCGUCACGUUGAUAACCUGGAGGAGAGACAAAGGACGUGGGUUGCAAGGGAGGGUGACAGGGGACCUGGCGCAAAGCACCGUGUUCCUCCCAUCUGGGUGGGGAGACAGUUCUGCUGUGAGUUUUUGGGAGGUUUCCAGCCCUUCUCUAUUUCUCAGAAUAACAUGUUCUUGUUACCUAAACAGCCUCUUCUCUGGUGUGGAAAAGAAUCCUCUGGCAAGGGCUGAAUAUCUAAAGGACCACAAACAGUGCUGAUCCUGGCCGCACGCUAGGUCUGGUGGGUUCUAAGAGCUUGUCCCAGGCUCCAGGUCCCUGGCCAGGUCUGGCCUUGCACUGGCACAGCCACCGACUGCUCAGUUCCCAUCUCCUGCCUGUGCUCAGGGCAAAAGAGCGAGCAGUUUGCUGGAUGAGAUGUUCGCCUCACAUCAGGCUCUGCUUACACACAGGGUCCUCACAUAUGUAUUCCUCCAGGUUUUCUUCUUUUUUUUGGUGAUGUGUAACUUACAUGUUCUAGAUCAGAAGGGAAUCAGAGCAAUACGUACGGACACGGCCAGCGUCACAGCAUCCAGCUCAGCUUUCCCCAGGUGGCCACAGAAGAUGGAGCUGACCACGCUGAUCAGGAACCCCAGCAGCUGGGCGACAAACUAGGAUGAGAGGAGGAGAAGACGGUGAGAUGAGGACUGGUUAGGACUGGAGGACCGCUCCUCCCCCUGACCUUGGACUAUGAACAGUCGGGGUUCCUGGUGUCACCUGUUGUCUUGGGAACCUAUCCCUGCUCCCCAUGGCUGCUGCACCAGAUCUUGCGCAGACAUCUGGUGAUUUUGUCUUUCAAAGCAAGCCUCUACCUGCCCUGUGGUGUUUUGGUGCUACACAGCCAAUCUGCCACAUGACCUUGUUUAUUUGUGGCUUAACAGCUUCACUAGAAAUCCUCUUUUCCAGGAUGAAAGAUGCAUAGAGAGGGAAAAUCAAAAAUCCUUAUGUUUUUCUGCACUUCUGUGCAUCUAGGAAAACUCCCCUCCUAAACCACAACGUCGUCUCCUCCUAGAGAGAUGCCAAGUCUAGUCUGCUUGUUCCUUAGCUUAGCGAUGCUGUAGCAGAGAUUACACUCCAAACCUCAUUUCCCCUUGGCAAGGGGACAGCUCCUCUACAGGCAUCUGAGGCAUGGAGUCAUGGCACAGCUAGAAGCAGAUGGUAGGAGUUAGAGACAUUAAUACCCACUGAAGGGUGGGCAUGGCUGGGGACCAUGCCCAGGGUCUGCUCACACUCCUUUCCACCCCGCAGCUGGCAAGCCAAGAGCACAGCGCUGCUGGAGAACCAGCUCCUGCGGGGUCAGAGGAAGAACAGAAUAAAAACCUUCUCCUCUCCAGACCUCCCACCGCUGCCUGCAGAUGCAGUUCAUCUCCUCCUGCCAGGUCUGGGCAUGCUCAACCUGCUGCUGGGAGUAAUUCCCACUGGAAUGGUCUGUACCUCCACAAUUGUUCAGUGCAGGGUUUGCCAUUAAAUGAGCGUUAGCUAAUGACAGCUGUAGGUUUUGUCAUGAGGUUGUCUGUGCACAUGGAGAACCAGGCUGUGCUGCAGAUGGAAAGGUUGAGGGCACUGAGCUAGAACUGAUGUCUUCAGCUACAGAAACCGAAACCCAUCUAUACUUCCUCUGCUGCCCAUUCACAGCAGGUUGGUGCUUUGAUGUCAGGGAGGGCAUCUCUGAGUUCAUCAGUUGUUACUUAUUUACCAGAUAGAUUAGAAAAUGCAAAGCACAAAGCUUCAUGUGUAAUGGAUUUAGACCAGGGCUGUGGUGCACACUCCCCUCUGCAAAAUGUGACUCCCACGGGAUGCGUGUCCUGGCAGACAAACAGCAGCCCGGGGAGGAUUUUGAGACAGCGGGCUGUAGGUACCUUUGCAUCCAGAGUCUGCUGGAAGGCCUGCCCAAGGAGUUGGUGUCCAGCUAACUGACCUGCUUGACACCCAAGGGAGCCAUGUAGGAGAAGAGCACUUGGACCGAGCUGGACAGCAACAGGAAUUGCUGUGGUAAGGAAUAAGCUCUUGGAUGACAAUUAAGGAACAAAUAGUGGAGGUUAAAGUCUGGCUGUGCCUCCGGCAGGCACGGCCGGCGGGAGGGAGCAGAGCCAUGUGCGAGGGAGCUGGAAUCCCGUGCGGAAGGGCGAUCCGGGGCCCGAUGGCUCCUCCCAGCCCGGGAUACGCUGCCAGGCUCCCGGUGCCCGAGCCCCGGGACGCUCCCCGGCUCUCACCUCCGCUGCGCCGCCGACGUUCCCCCCCGGGACUGCCGCCGCUCCGGAGGGGAGUGGGGUCCUGUCCCCAUCCCCUGUGCCCCCCCGCCCGCUCCCGGCUCUCACCACGGGCCCCGCCAGCCGGGCCAGCUCGCAGCUCUCCCGCCGUGCGCCCGCGGGCAGGAGGCGCCGGGCGCCCCGCAGGCACCGCGCUGCUGCUCCCGCCGCCGCCGCCAUGGGCCG